CGUGAGCGAGAAACAGCUGUUUGCCUCAUGCAAAAGUACAUAGAUAAGGGGUCUGAAUUGCAAAUCAGAUCAGCUAUUGCUCUUGAUCAUCUAAAAAAUUAUAUAUAUGUGGACGCAGAUAAAGAGGCCCAUGUUAGAGAGGCUUGCAAAGGUCAGCGCAAUAUAUUUGGCCAAA